ACACUAAGAGGCUUCUGCGAUUUUGGAUUUGUUUUAUAUAUGGCAGAUCUCUAGAAUGGAGUGCCCGUGCGCAGCGGAGAUGCCACCUUCCCCAAAGCUAUGGACAACGUGACGGUCCGGCAGGGGGAGAGCGCCACCCUCAGUAUCUCCCAAAAUUGUAGAGAUUUCUUCAGAUAUCUCCAUUAACGAAGGGAACAAUAUCAGCCUCACCUGCAUAGCAACUGGUAGACCAGAGCCUACGGUUACUUGGAGACACAUCUCCCCCAAAGCGGUUGGCUUUGUGAGUGAAGACGAAUACUUGGAAAUUCAGGGCAUCACCCGGGAGCAGUCAGGGGACUACGAGUGCAGUGCCUCCAAUGACGUGGCCGCGCCCGUGGUACGGAGAGUAAAGGUCACCGUGAACUAUCCACCAUACAUUUCAGAAGCCAAGGGUACAGGUGUCCCCGUGGGACAAAAGGGGACACUGCAGUGUGAAGCCUCAGCAGUCCCCUCAGCAGAAUUCCAGUGGUACAAGGAUGACAAAAGACUGAUUGAAGGAAAGAAAGGGGUGAAAGUGGAAAACAGACCUUUCCU
rnacentral:sRNA from 1 species